rnacentral:rRNA from 1 species
AGGUCCUGCCUGCCCAGUGACUAUGUUAAACGGCCGCGGUAUUUUGACCGUGCAAAGGUAGCGCAAUCACUUGUCUUUUAAAUGAAGACCUGUAUGAAUGGUGGAACGAGGGCCUAACUGUCUCCCUUUUCAGGUCAAUGAAAUUGAUCUACCCGUGCAGAAGCGGGUAUACACAUACAAGACGAGAAGACCCUUUGGAGCUUAAGAUUAAAAAUCAACUAUGUCAAAUAUUUAUUAAAUAAAACUAAAUAGUAACUGAUCAUAAUCUUCGGUUGGGGCGACCACGGAAUAAAAACAAACUUCCACAUGGACUGAGGACUAACCUUAAAACCAAGAAAAACAUUUCUAAGUCACAGAAUUUCUGACCAUACAGAUCCGGCAAAUUGCCGAUCAAUGGACCAAGUUACCCUAGGGAUAACAGCGCAAUCCCCUUUUAGAGUUCCUAUCGACAAGGGGGUUUACGACCUCGAUGUUGGAUCAGGAC